UCCUCCAUUUUCUUCAGCUUUCUUAUUACAUCUAAAUGAUGUUUUGAUUCAUCUUUGAGAAUUCCAACGAUAAAUUAUUGAAAGACGACUCGAAAUCCCAGUUUACAAAAUCACAAAGAUAUAUCACAUAACACAAUACUUCUAAUAUUUGUCUAUUA